UAGGGAAUCUUCCGCAAUGGACGCAAGUCUGACGGAGCAACGCCGCGUGAGUGAAGAAGGAUUUAGGUUCGUAAAACUCUGUUGUUAGAGAAGAACAGCGCAUAGAGUAACUGUUAUGCGUGUGACGGUAUCUAACCAGAAAGCCACGGCUAACUACGUGCCAGCAGUCGCGGUAAUACGUAGGUGGCAAGCGUUGUCCGGAUUUAUUGGGCGUAAAGCGAGCGCAGGCGGUUAGAAAAGUCUGAAGUGAAAGGCAGUGGCUCAACCAUUGUAGGCUUUGGAAACUGUUUAACUUGAGUGCAGAAGGGGAGAGUGGAAUUCCAUGUGUAGCGGUGAAAUGCGUAGAUAUAUGGAGGAACACCGGUGGCGAAAGCGGCUCUCUGGUCUGUAACUGACGCUGAGGCUCGAAAGCGUGGGGAGCGAACAGG
rnacentral:rRNA from 1 species